AAAAAAGAACAAAAGAGAAAAAAACACGCAAAGCGUGGUAGCGUGAAAGGAGAGCGAUCUCUCCAAAGAGAACCUUGACAGACAGAGAGAGAGAGAGAGAGAGAGAGGGAAAGUUUCACAGAGACUUCUGGAGAGAUGAGUGAAAUUUGUGGCUGCAGAUCGUUGAGUUUGUUUGUAUUAUUGGCUUCAAUUUCUCUACAAUUCAUCCCAGGAUUUUCUGAUGAUUCAUCGAGUUCCAAAAAUGAGAAAAAAGCUGUGACGCAUUCUACUUCCAGUCACACUGGAUCUACGUUGGCCAUCAUAUUCCUUGGACUUGUAGUAGUUGCAUUGUUCUCCUUUUUCCUUUUCAAGCUAUGGCAAAAGAAGAAACGAGAAGAACAGUAUGCCCGUCUUUUGAAGUUGUUUGAAGAGGAUGAUGAACUUGAACUUGAACUUGGUCUUCGGGAUUGAAAAACUUGGAGUUAAUUAAAGUCAUGGCUUGAAUGGCUUUUGUAUUUGAAAAACUCACUCCCAUAACCAGGACUGCAGUUUGGUGUCCAGGGUUGAGUGCAACAAAUGCUGACAAGUGCUUCAAAGUUUUGGAGUACAUAAUUGUACUGACUGUUACCUUCUCUUCUUUCAUCUGGCUGAUUCAGUCUCUCCCUCUCAAUACUCAUAUGGCAAAGAUCAAUUUAAAUAAACUUAUAUUGCCUAUUGCCUUGCCUUUUAAAGUAAAUGAAAGGUGCCUUAGCAAAGCGAGCUGACUGAUUUAACUUUUUACAUUCAUUUUCUUCUUCUAUUUGGCUUGAAAACUCUUGGAAAUGAUAAGAUCAACAACACUUCAUUUUGGUGCUGAAA